rnacentral:rRNA from 1 species
GACGAACGCUGGCGGCGUGCUUAACACAUGCAAGUCGAACGGAAAGGCCCUGCUUUUGUGGGGUGCUCGAGUGGCGAACGGGUGAGUAACACGUGAGUAACCUGCCCUUGACUUUGGGAUAACUUCAGGAAACUGGGGCUAAUACCGGAUAGGAGCUCCUGCUGCAUGGUGGGGGUUGGAAAGUUUCGGCGGUUGGGGAUGGACUCGCGGCUUAUCAGCUUGUUGGUGGGGUAGUGGCUUACCAAGGCUUUGACGGGUAGCCGGCCUGAGAGGGUGACCGGCCACAUUGGGACUGAGAUACGGCCCAGACUCCUACGGGAGGCAGCAGUGGGGAAUAUUGCACAAUGGGCGGAAGCCUGAUGCAGCAACGCCGCGUGCGGGAUGACGGCCUUCGGGUUGUAAACCGCUUUCGCCUGUGACGAAGCGUGAGUGACGGUAAUGGGUAAAGAAGCACCGGCUAACUACGUGCCAGCAGCCGCGGUGAUACGUAGGGUGCGAGCGUUGUCCGGAUUUAUUGGGCGUAAAGGGCUCGUAGGUGGUUGAUCGCGUCGGAAGUGUAAUCUUGGGGCUUAACCCUGAGCGUGCUUUCGAUACGGGUUGACUUGAGGAAGGUGGGGGAGAAUGGAAUUCCUGGUGGAGCGGUGGAAUGCGCAGAUAUCAGGAGGAACACCAGUGGCGAAGGCGGUUCUCUGGGCCUUUCCUGACGCUGAGGAGCGAAAGCGUGGGGAGCGAACAGGCUUAGAUACCCUGGUAGUCCACGCUGUAAACGGUGGGUACUAGGUGUGGGGUCCAUUCCACGGGUUCCGUGCCGUAGCUAACGCUUUAAGUACCCCGCCUGGGGAGUACGGCCGCAAGGCUAAAACUCAAGGGAAUUGACGGGGCCCCGCACAAGCGGCGGAGCAUGCGGAUUAAUUCGAUGCAACGCGUAGAACCUUACCUGGGUUUGACAUGGAUCGGGAGUGCUCAGAGAUGGGUGUGCCUCUUUUGGGGUCGGUUCACAGGUGGUGCAUGGCUGUCGUCAGCUCGUGUCGUGAGAUGUUGGGUUAAGUCCCGCAACGAGCGCAACCCUUGUUCACUGUUGCCAGCACGUUAUGGUGGGGACUCAGUGGAGACCGCCGGGGUCAACUCGGAGGAAGGUGGGGAUGACGUCAAGUCAUCAUGCCCCUUAUGUCCGGGGCUUCACGCAUGCUACAAUGGCUGGUACAGAGAGUGGCGAGCCUGUGAGGGUGAGCGAAUCUCGGAAAGUCGGUCUCAGUUCGGAUUGGGGUCUGCAACUCGACCUCAUGAAGUCGGAGUCGCUAGUAAUCGCAGAUCAGCAACGCUGCGGUGAAUACGUUCCCGGGGCU